UACGUAGGGGGCAAGCGUUGUCCGGAAUCAUUGGGCGUAAAGAGCGUGUAGGCGGCCAGAUAAGUCCGCUGUGAAAACUCGAGGCUCAACUUCGAGCUGUCGGUGGAAACUAUUUGGCUAGAGUCCGGAAGAGGAGAGUGGAAUUCCUGGUGUAGCGGUGAAAUGCGCAGAUAUCAGGAAGAACACCAAUUGCGAAGGCAGCUCGCUGGGACGUUACUGACGCUGAGACGCGAAAGCGUGGGGAGCAAACAGG
rnacentral:rRNA from 1 species